rnacentral:snRNA from 1 species
CAAUUGAGCACAACCCAAUUCAUUCCCAAUCAUUGGAAUGAUACAUAGAAGAUUAGCAUGGCGCCUGCACAAGGAUGACAAAUUUAUGAAGCGCUCCGUAUUUUU